rnacentral:rRNA from 2 species
CCGUAGCGCGGUGGUCCCACCUGACCCCAUGCCGAACUCAGAAGUGAAACGCCGUAGCGCCGAUGGUAGUGUGGGGUUUCCCCAUGCGAGAGUAGGGAACUGCCAGGC